UACGGAGGGUGCAAGCGUUAUCCGGAUUUACUGGGUUUAAAGGGUGCGUAGGUGGGCGAGAAAGUCAGUGGUGAAAUCUCCGGGCUUAACCCGGAAACUGCCAUUGAUACUAUUUGUCUUGAAUACUUUGGAGGUAAGCGGAAUAUGUCAUGUAGCGGUGAAAUGCUUAGAUAUGACACAGAACACCGAUUGCGAAGGCAGCUCACUAAACUGUAACUGACGCUGAGGCACGAAAGCGUGGGGAGCAAACAGG
rnacentral:rRNA from 1 species